rnacentral:rRNA from 1 species
UACGGAGGGUGCAAGCGUUAUCCGGAUUCACUGGGUUUAAAGGGUGCGUAGGUGGGUUGAUAAGUCAGUGGUGAAAUCCCCGAGCUUAACUUGGGAACUGCCAUUGAUACUGAAGAUCUUGAGUUCGGGAGAGGUGAGUGGAACUGCGAGUGUAGAGGUGAAAUUCGUAGAUAUUCGCAAGAACACCAGUGGCGAAGGCGGCCAACUGGACCAUUACUGACGCUGAGGUGCGAAAGCGUGGGGAGCAAACAGG